AAAGGAAUUGACGGGGGCCCGCACAAGCGGUGGAUCAUGUGGUUCAAUUCGAAGCUACACGCAUAACCUUACCUGGGUUUGAAAUCCCACGAACGAGGCAGAGAUGUCUUGGUGCUCUUCGGAGAAUGUGGAGACAGGUGCUGCAUGGCUGUCGUCAGCUCGUGUUGUGAAAUGUUGGGUUAAGUCUCGCAACGAGCGCAACCCCUAUCUUUAGUUGCCAGCAUUAAGUUGGGCACUCUAGAGAGACUGCCCGGGUUAACCGGGAGGAAGGUGGGGAUGACGUCAAGUCCUCAUGGCCCUUAUGUCCAGGGCUACACACGUGAUACAAUGGUGCAUACAAAGGGAAGCGAAACGGUGACGUGAAGCAAAUCUCAAAAAGUGCAUCUCAGUCCGGAUUGGAGUCUGCAACUCGACUCCAUGAAGUUGGAAUCGCUAGUAAUCGCGAAUCAUCAUGUCGCGGUGAAUACGUUCCCGGGCCUUGUACACACCGCCCGU
rnacentral:rRNA from 1 species